GUGGGGAAUAUUGGACAAUGGGGGGAACCCUGAUCCAGCCAUGCCGCGUGUGUGAAGAAGGCCUUUUGGUUGUAAAGCACUUUAAGCGAGGAGGAGGCUACCGAGAUUAAUACUCUUGGAUAGUGGACGUUACUCGCAGAAUAAGCACCGGCUAACUCUGUGCCAGCAGCCGCGGUAAUACAGAGGGUGCAAGCGUUAAUCGGAUUUACUGGGCGUAAAGCGCGCGUAGGUGGCCAAUUAAGUCAAAUGUGAAAUCCCCGAGCUUAACUUGGGAAGUGCAUUCGAUACUGGUUGGCUAGAGUAUGGGAGAGGAUGGUAGAAUUCCAGGUGUAGCGGUGAAAUGCGUAGAGAUCUGGAGGAAUACCGAUGGCGAAGGCAGCCAUCUGGCCUAAUACUGACACUGAGGUGCGAAAGCAUGGGGAGCAAACAGGAUUAGAUACCCCAGUAGUCC
rnacentral:rRNA from 1 species